AGCUCAUACACUUUUACUUGUGGUGGGUAAAUACCUGAUGCAAUUAGAUACUCCCCAUCAGGAGUCACUUUAAUACGUGUUGUUGCAGUUUCAAAUUUCAAAUCUUGAAUCAGAUCCACUCUUUGCAUAUAACCUGGAUCUUUACGAAGAGCUCUGAGCUUCUUCGGAGGAAGCCAUGUAGCCACAGAACGGUGUUGGCCAGCAACAGUAUACAUCUUCACUCCAUUUAUGGCAGUGGACUUCAAGUUUCCCCCUUGGUACGCCAUUGUAAUUCAAUUGGCAGACAAAGUAAUGCCUUUUUCUGAGUUUCGCCGGACGGCGAUCGGUGAUGGCAGCCGGCAGCGGCACGGUGAAAUUGUUUGUUAGAAGCGGCUGGUUCUAAUUUGGACAGGGUUUUG
rnacentral:misc_RNA from 1 species